GAUGAACGCUGACAGAAUGCUUAACACAUGCAAGUCGAUUCGAUUUACCUUCGGGUAUUGAGGAUGGCGGACGGGUGAGUAACGCGUAAGGAACUUGCCUCUUGGUCUGGGACAACUGUUGGAAACGACAGCUAAUACCGGAUAUUAUGAGAUUCUCGCAUGAGAAACUUAUGAAAGCUAUAUGCGCCAAGAGAGAGCCUUGCGUUCCAUUAGCUAGUUGGUGGGGUAACGGCCCACCAAGGCGACGAUGGAUAGCCGGCCUGAGAGGGUGAACGGCCACAAGGGGACUGAGACACGGCCCUUACUCCUACGGGAGGCAGCAGUGGGGAAUAUUGGACAAUGGGCCACAAGCCUGAUCCAGCAAUUCUGUGUGCACGAUGAAGGUCUUCGGAUUGUAAAGUGCUUUCAGUUGGGAAGAAGAAAGUGACGGUACCAACAGAAGAAGCGACGGCUAAAUACGUGCCAGCAGCCGCGGUAAUACGUAUGUCGCAAGCGUUAUCCGGAUUUAUUGGGCGUAAAGCGCGUCUAGGCGGAAAAAUAAGUCUGAUGUUAAAAUGCGGGGCUCAACUCCGUAUUGCGUUGGAAACUGUUUUUCUAGAGUACUGGAGAGGUGGGCGGAACUACAAGUGUAGAGGUGAAAUUCGUAGAUAUUUGUAGGAAUGCCGAUGGAGAAGUCAGCUCACUGGNCAGA
rnacentral:rRNA from 1 species